AUACGGAGGAUCCGAGCGUUAUCCGGAUUUAUUGGGUUUAAAGGGUGCGUAGGCUGUUCGGAAAGUCAGGGGUGAAAGCCCGGCGCCUAACGCCGGAACUGCCUUUGAUACUUCCGAGCUGGAAUACGGAUGCCGUGGGAGGAAUGAGUAGUGUAGCGGUGAAAUGCAUAGAUAUUACUCAGAACACCGAUUGCGAAGGCAUCUCACGAAUCCGUCAUUGACGCUGAGGCACGAAAGCGUGGGGAUCAAACAGGAUUAGAUACCCUGGUAGUCCACGCAGUAAACGAUGAUGACUAACCGUCGGCGAUACACAGUCGGUGGCCAAGCGAAAGCGAUAAGUCAUCCACCUGGGGAGUACGUUCGCAAGAAUGAAACUCAAAUGAAUUGACGGGG
rnacentral:rRNA from 1 species